UAAUGCUACUUCCCCAAUGUUGUACUUUCACUGACCAAUGGAAUCCCAGAAAAUGUGAGGCAAAGCAGAGGCUUUAGAUAGGCUUGUGUGAUUUUACUUUAUCAUUUGAUCUUAUUUAUCCUGAAAAGAAAAUAUCCAGGGUGGUUCUUGUCCAAAGAAGAAGAAAAAGGGAACAGAUAUCAACCAAGCCAAGAUCUCCAGCCAAGUCUAGCUGGAUUUCUGCCUGAGAAGACCAACUACACUGACCCAGAGACUUCCGAGGGCAACAGAGCUGUGGCUUCGAGUGCACUGCUUGUAUUGACCUUGAAGAAUUACUUGAGUCACCUUUCAUCAGAUAAACGGAGAGCUAUAAUUUGUCUCUUAACAAGACUGCCAAUAGAGCAUCUGUGAGAUUUCUACAGACUCCAAGGUUUCCCAUCAUUUUUUGUCGUGGCAGGCAACCCUUCUCUGAACUCUGGCUACAGUGAUCUCUGUUUUAGUAGGUCAUCAACUGUGCUCGUAGCCUUUUUAUUCUACCUUUAUGACCAUCUCAGAAAGGCCCCAUGUGUUGCUUUCACAAUCACAUAUCUGUGUUACAUUUGGGUCUGCAGGUCAAAUUUAAUAUAUGUUCAAUAAAUC
rnacentral:lncRNA from 1 species